UAUUCUCCCCAUAGCUCAUCUCUCCCAAAGCCUUCAUUUUUUUAUUUUUUUCCCAUCUUCUUCUUCCUUCCGUCACUUUCCAUUUCUCCCUCUCUUUUUAUUUUUAUUUUUUCCUUCUUCUUCUCUAUCUCUCUUUCCUUUUUUCCUGCUUCUUCCUCUGUCACUCUGCAAUUUUUUCCUCUUCUUCCUCCUUUGCGCGUCUCCCAUAUAUCUCUUUUUUCUUUUUCUUUUUUCCGUCCCUCUCUCUUCUCUUACUUCUUCUCCUUCUUCCCGCUCUCCCUCGAAGACCAGUUGUUGUCUGGCCUGGCCUUAUCCUUUUCGUGGGCUAAUAUUCAGAUCUGAACCGCAUAUCUCCUUAGAAAGAUCAGAGUUUUUUACAUGUGAAGCCCAACCGACGCCGACAUUGUUCACACAGAUCCGAUUGUCUCUUCAACAGCCACGUUGAAGCCCAAC